rnacentral:lncRNA from 1 species
ACAUAUAUUCAUAAAUACACAAGCAUAUUUUAUUUAUUUCAUUUUUCUAUUUUGCUCUUCAAAACACUCCAAUGGAUACAUUACACAACAACCUCUUUGACAUUUUUCUUCACAAAAUAAAUAGUUGUGCUAUCAUCCAUUCACGGACAGACCAUGAACAUAAAACAAUACUCUAACAUAUUACAAAAUACACAGAACCCAAUUUUUCCUUUUUCUUUCUUCUUCAUCCAAAAGGCACAUACACACACACUUGAGCGGAUCAUCUCCAUUUUGAAAAUCUUCUACAAAAUAAACACACUAUAAAACAUGACAACACACACAAUUAUCAUUUUCAUCUCCUUCUCCCUCAUAAUUCUCUCUUUUUCCUUCACUGUUCGAGAUCUAAGCGAGCGUCCAAACAACACCAACCCCGCCGCUUCUCAGAUCUGCAGCCACCAGCCACCCUCCGCUACAACAAACCACUUCUCUGGCGAGUGCCGCCUAGCGCCGCCUCUAACACCAACAAAACAGCAUCGCGACAGCCCCCUUCUCCCCCUUUCGCUUUUUACCAUCAAGAAUUGGCCAGAUCUGGUCGUACUCCCAUUUUCCAGCGUUGCUCCGGCGAUUGCCGUCGAAGCAACGCCAAUCCUUGUCUCUUACUAUAGAUUUAUUUGGUAGUAUGUUUAUUUUACAGAUAUGGGUCAUUUAUGGUGCUAACAUUUUUUUUUUCUACUUUGGAUCCUUAAUACUUUGACUGUGUUUGUUGACAUAUUUGAUGAAUUUAACAACCAUUAUAUGGUCAAAAGUUGUUGCUAUACUC